rnacentral:rRNA from 1 species
AGAGCGAACGCUAGCGGGAUGCCUCAAACAUGCAAGUCGUACGCGAAAGUGACUUCGGUCACGAGUAGAGUGGCGCACGGGUGCGUAACACGUAGCUAACGUACCUCAUCGCUGGGGAUAACUCCGGGAAACCGGAGCUAAUACCGAAUAAUUCGUCGAGGUCUGCGGACCUUGCCGAUAAAGCCGUAAGGCGCGGUGAGAUCGGGCUGCGGCCGAUUAGUUAGUUGGCGGGGUAAUGGCCCACCAAGACGAUGAUCGGUA